GAGAGGCCCCUCAGUAGGCGUGGGAAAGAGUGUCGCGGGGAGAGUUGGGCCAUUCCCGCCCUCCGCCACCAUCUUGCUCUCCUGUAAGGCGGUUGUGACCGCGGGUCCGAGCAAUCUUAAGCCAUGAAGCUUAUAACCAGAGCCGGAUCCUUCUCGAGAUUUUAUUCUCUCAAAGUUGCCCCCAAAGCUUUGGCCAGCGCUGCCCCUGCAGGAGUGCCUCUACAGCCUCAGGACCUUGAGUUUACCAGAUUACCAAAUGGUUUGGUGAUCGCAUCUCUCGAAAACUAUGCUCCUGCAUCAAGAAUUGGUUUGUUCAUUAAAGCAGGCAGUAGAUAUGAGGACUCCAACAAUUUAGGAACCUCUCAUCUGCUUCGUCUUGCAUCCAGUUUGACUACAAAAGGAGCUUCAUCUUUCAAGAUAACCCGUGGAAUCGAAGCAGUUGGUGGUAAAUUAAGUGUGACUUCCACAAGGGAAAGCAUGGCUUACACAGUGGAAUGUCUGCGAGAUGAUAUUGAGAUCCUGAUGGAGUUCCUGCUCAAUGUCACCGCAGCACCAGAAUUUCGUCGCUGGGAGGUAGCUGCCCUGCAGUCUCAGCUAAGGAUUGAUAAAGCUGUGGCUUUUCAGAAUCCACAGGCUCAGGUCCUUGAAAAUUUGCAUGCUGCAGCUUACCGAAAUGCCUUGGCUAAUUCCUUGUACUGUCCUGAUUAUAGGAUUGGAAAAGUGACACCAGAUCAGUUACAUUACUAUGUACAGAACCAUUUCACAAGUGCAAGAAUGGCUUUGAUUGGACUUGGUGUGAGUCAUCCUGUUCUAAAGCAAGUGGCCGAACGGUUUCUCAACAUGAGGGGGGGGCUUGGUUUAUCUGGCGCAAAGGCCAAGUACCGUGGAGGUGAAAUUCGAGACCAGAAUGGAGACAGUCUCGUCCAUGCUGCUCUUGUAGCAGAAAGUGCUGCCACGGGAAGUGCAGAAGCAAAUGCAUUUAGUGUUCUGCAGCAUGUCCUUGGUGCUGGACCACAUGUUAAGAGGGGCAGCAAUGCCACCAGCUCUCUAUACCAGGCUGUCGCCAAGGGAGUUCACCAGCCAUUUGAUGUUUCUGCUUUUAACGCCAGUUACUCAGAUUCUGGACUCUUCGGGAUUUAUACUAUCUCUCAGGCUGCAUCUGCUGGAGAUGUUAUCAAGUCUGCCUAUGACCAAGUAAAAACAAUUGCUCAAGGAAACCUUUCUAAUACAGAUGUCCAAGCUGCCAAGUAAGUUUCAAUAUUAACUGUGUUUCAUCUUUCAAUUAUUUGAAGGUUGUUUUUUCUAGUUACAACACUAUUGUAAUAAAUGCACAAAAGGAUUGAAAGGUACAGAAAAGUAUUUAAAAGAAAAGGAAAAUAGAUUCGUCCCACCUAGAGAUAUCAUUAUUAACAUUUUGAUUAUUAUCUUGACCAUUUUUAUACAUUUUAAACAUAGUUAAUAUUGCAUAUAUACUUAAUAAAUAAUAUUACUGUGUUUAUUGUAGAAAUUUGAAAAUUACAAACACAAAGAAAGAUAAAAAUUAUCUUUCAUUCCCUACCAGUGAUUCUUCUCUUUAACAUGAUAAUGUUUCCAUUUAUUCAGAUCACUAAAAAUUAUGUCAUAAACAGUUUUAAUGGGUGUGUCCAAAUAUACUUGUUGGACAUUUUUCAACAAGAUGGCAAUUGGGGAUUCUAAACAAUUAAUGAUAUCUUCGGGCUUAAAACAUUUUUUCAUUUCUUGUUACUUUUCUUGGUAUAGAUUCACAACUGGGCCAAGAGUUACAAAUACUAUAACGAAAGGUUCUGCGUUAAAAUAUGUAUGUGUGUUUGUACGAUAUUGGUAUAUUUUGGAGUCACCAUGUUACAGGGUUGUACUAGCUUAUAAAUCAUACCAUCAGUGUAGGAGAGUGCCUAUUCCGCCAUAACCAUUGGCGGCGGUUUUUUAUCUCUUCACUGAUUUGGUAGAUCAUAGAUAGCUGAUUAAAAGGUUGCAAUUUCCAUCUCCUGCUGGGUGAUUUUCAAAUUCCCAUUGUCUUCACUGAAAGUGGUAAGAACACCUCGGUAGUUCUGGGAGUUUCUCUAAAAGAGACAGACUCUGGAUAGAGUUGGAAAUCAGCUUGCAUUUUCAUACAGGAGUUAGACCAUUUAAAUUUGACUCCAUCCAUUUCAGUUCAAAAAGUGAAUCCUGAAACUGGCAGUCUUCAUGAUCACUUAUUUAGUGUUGCCCACAAGGAAAGUAUGACAGGGUGAAUUACAACCCAGGAGGGAACAACCUGUUGCCAUUUCUGUUCUCUUUAGUCUCAGUACUUUUAUAAUGCCAAACACACUAAAAAAAAUUGUGUCUGUGAAUGAGUACAACACAGUUUAUUAAAUACCAUAUACGUGAAACCAAGGAUUGAUAAGGAUGCGGCUCUACAUUAUUGCAUCCCAAACAAACAUAAUUGAGACACCGGCUAUGCUUAGGGCAAAUGUAUUUUCUUAAUAACUGUAGCACAGUUGUUGGCAAGUACCUCAAUGUUCAGAAAGUGGAAUUUUGGUUAUUAAUGUCAAGAUAUGUUUAUUUCCUGCCAUUUUGAUGGAGUUGAUGCUUUUUUGUAAGGUUCUUAUUAGUCUUCCUAUAGUGAAAGAGAAAGUGAGCAGUCAUUGCUGAAGGGACAAACUAAUAUAAUCUUUUCGUAAAGUUUAUUGCAGGUAAAGUCUUUUUUCAGUUAAGCUGGCGGUAUGGUAAAAUUGCUACAUCAGAUUAUAAUUAUGCUUAAAUGGAAGUCUUGCUACAGAGUACCAAGAAGAUGGGUUUCUUUGAGAGUUAAAUAACUCAGAUGCCUUACUGCACACCGGUUUCUUUCUGGGAUAAUUGUGAAUUGAAUUGUGUUUUAUUUCAAAUCGGUGCUUUGGUGCCAAUAUUUAAGCUACAGGGACUUAAUAGGACCUAUCUGUCCUUCCCCACCUCCCUCCCCUCAGUGAGACAAAUCCCAGCACAGAAAUGGGCUGGGAGUAGGGAAGUUAGAUUAUCGGCACACAACAUUCUGCUAAGUGGGCAGUGAGAAGAGCCCACAUAGGUAUUUUUAACAGAGAUGCCUAAAAUUAUGACCGAAAAAGUAUCAGGAAGCAGUAAGUUACUUCAGUCAUCAAAACUUCACAUUACAGGAGUUUCCCUUCAUGGCUCAGCAGUUAACAAACCCAACUAGUAUCCAUAAAGUUGUGGGUUCAAUCCCUGGCUCCGCUCAGUGGGUUAAGGAUCUGGUGUUGCCGUGAGCUGUGGUAUAGGUCACAGAUGCAGCCUGGAUCUCAUGAUGCUGUGGCUGUGGCAUCCUCCACAUGUUGCUGGUGCAGCCAUAAAAAAUAAAAUAAAUUAAAUUUUUAAAAAAAUCACAUUACAGGAGUUCCCUUCAUGGCUCAGCGGUUAACAAACCUGACUAGUAUCCAUGAGGAUGCAGGUUCGAUCCCUGGCCUUGCUCAGUGGGUUAAGGAUCCAGUGUUGCCGUGAGCUGUGGUGUACGUUGCAAAUGCGGCUCGGAUCCUGCAAUGCUGUUGGUCUGGUGUAGGCUGGUGGCUGCAGCUCCAAUUUGACCCCUGGCCUGGGAACCUCCAUAUGCCAUGGGUACAGCCCUAAAAAAAACCCAAAAACUUCACACUGCAAUAGUUUUAACUCGAUCUUAAGUUCUAGUCUAAAAUCAAAAGGCCAUCUGUUGGGUUUUCAGUAUAAUCUUAUAAUGACAGCUUUUAAAAUGAUAUCAAUAUUAAAAUAGUUCAUGAACUGAAGAAAUAGAAUGGAGACUUUUGGCACUGUAAAGCUGUUAAUUUUUGUAUUUACCCAAACAUGUUUAAGGGUUUGGGAGAGUACUUUUAAAUUGCCUUGCUCUGUAAAACUGGGUUCUGCCUUAGUUACACGCCUUUUAUUGGACAGGAACAAGCUGAAAGCCGGGUACCUAAUGUCAGUGGAGUCUUCUGAGGGUUUCCUGGAUGAAGUUGGGUCUCAGGCUCUAGUUGCUGGUUCUUACGUGCAGCCAUCCACGGUCCUUCAGCAGAUUGAUUCAGUAGCUGACGCUGAUGUUAUAAACGCUGCAAAGAAGUUUGUUUCUGGCCGGAAGUCAAUGGCAGCAAGCGGAAAUUUGGGUCAUACACCUUUCGUUGAUGAGUUGUAAUAUUGAAACAUGUUGCAGGAAAGAGCUGAACAUUUUCUCAACCCUGAGCAGCAAAUACGUGAAGGUGAAAAGCCUCUAAUGUAACAUUUAUCUUUUUUUCCAAUGAGAUUAAAUAUCGUAAAGCAUAAAUGCAAGUAACUGUUCCCAGCUGACCUAAAGUCAAUAAAACAUUAUAUUUAAAUGUUUUUCUUAGAGUUCCUGUCACUGGUGUGGCUCUGGUUACCACUGUGGCAGGGGUUCGAUCCAUGGCCCGGGAACUUCCAUGUGCUGCAGGCAUAGCCCAAAUAAAUAAAUAAAUAAAUAAAAUUUUCUUACAUUUUUCCUAACCAGUUAUUCAACAAGUUUUUGUUUUAGUUGCUUUAGAGGAGAACAAGAAUAUAAUAAUAAAGUACAGAAGUGUGAGAAACUAUUACAAUUAAGGCUAAAUGGAGUUCCCUUGUGGUGCAGUGGGUUAAGGAUCCAGUGUCACUGCAGUAGCUGGAGUCACUGCUCUGUCACUAUAGAUUCAGUCCCUGGCCUGGGAACUUCCACAUACUGCAGGCAUGGCCAAAAAAAAUAAAAAAUAAAAAAUAAUGGAGUUCCCAUCAUGGCACAGUGGUUAACAAAUCCGACUAGGAACCAUGAGGUUUCGGGUUCGAUCUCUGCCCUUGCUCAGUGGGUUAAGGAUCCGGCACUGCCGUGAGCUGUGGUGUAGGUUGCAGACGCGGCUCAGAUCCUGCAUUGCUGUGGCUCUGGCGUAGGCUGGUGGCUACAGCUCCAAUUCGACCCCUAGCCUGGGAACCUCCAUAUGCCAUGGGUGCAGCCCUAGAAAAGGCAAAAAGACAAAAAAAAAAAAAAAAAAAAUGAAGGCUAAUCGGCUCUCAGAGUAACUAUUUCCAGUUUAUGAUGAUGAUGUAUUAUUAUAAUAGUACAUGUGUUCUAUAUAGUAUUAGUAUUAAUUUAAAACGAUAAAAGCAGUUAAAAACUGUACUCUUGGGUAAGAACAAUUAAAUGGUCUGGGUACGUUUGAUUUACC